UACAGAGGCCCCGAGCGUUAUCCGGAAUUAUUGGGCGUAAAGGGUGUGUAGGCGGUUUAGUUAGUCUUGUGUUAAAGUCCGAGGCUCAACCUCGGGUUCGCGCAGGAAACGGCUAAACUAGAGGACAAGAGAGGUAUAGGGAACCCAUAGUGUAGGGGUGAAAUCCGUUGAUAUUAUGGGGAACACCGAAGGCGAAGGCACUAUACUGGCCUGUUUCUGACGCUGAGACACGAAAGCGUGGGGAGCGAAAGGG
rnacentral:misc_RNA from 1 species